rnacentral:lncRNA from 1 species
UGCAUAAGUGCGGGGGCAUAUUGACUUUUAAACGAGUAGGCUCAGCUCAAUCACGGGCACUAUAUACAGAAAACUCACAAUUUAUGAAAUUCAAUGCCAGGGAACAUCAUAAAUUCCCAGUUUUUGAAAUUCUCUGGAUUCUCUGAUUUCUUUUGUUCCCGAUUAUAGUUCUUGGACUUGCAUCAAGAAUUGGUCACAUCAAACUAGUUGGUCGUAUGAUCAAAGUGCAAUUCAAAUAUAAAAGUUCUUUUGCUGCUGGUUAUGGAAAAAGGGAAAAAAUUAAAAAUAAAAGGAAAAACAGAAAGGCUUUUCAGAGUUACUUGUAACUGAAUUAGUGUACAAGACUGGCUCUAUAUACCGGAAACUCGAUAUAGUACUACAUUUGUACUUAAACACCCUAUAGGAAACAGGAGGAAGGGUCGAAAAUCAUGUGCUCAGUUUCCUCUUUUAGUUCAAAACACGUCUUCCACUUGUGAUUAGAGCCAUAAUGCUCCAGCAUCUUUCAACAACUUCUUAAGUGAACCAUUGAGAUGCA